CCUACGGGAGGCAGCAGUGGGGAAUUUUGGACAAUGGGCGCAAGCCUGAUCCAGCAAUGCCGCGUGAGUGAAGAAGGCCUUCGGGUUGUAAAGCUCUUUUGUCAGGGAAGAAACGGUGGGAGCUAAUAUCUCCUGCUAAUGACGGUACCUGAAGAAUAAGCACCGGCUAACUACGUGCCAGCAGCCGCGGUAAUACGUAGGGUGCAAGCGUUAAUCGGAAUUACUGGGCGUAAAGCGUGCGCAGGCGGUUUUGUAAGACUGUCGUGAAAUCCCCGGGCUCAACCUGGGAAUGGCGAUGGUGACUGCAAGGCUAGAGUUUGGCAGAGGGGGGUAGAAUUCCACGUGUAGCAGUGAAAUGCGUAGAUAUGUGGAGGAACACCGAUGGCGAAGGCAGCCCCCUGGGUCAAAACUGACGCUCAUGCACGAAAGCGUGGGGAGCAAACAGGAUUAGAUACCCUGGUAGUCCACGCCCUAAACGAUGUCUACUAGUUGUCGGGUCUUAAUUGACUUGGUAACGCAGCUAACGCGUGAAGUAGACCGCCUGGGGAUACGGUCGCAAGAUUAAAACGUCAAAGGAAUUGACGGCUGAGAGAGACGACGGACGACGACGAGGGAGGAGG
rnacentral:rRNA from 1 species